rnacentral:rRNA from 1 species
CAGUCGCCACGGGAAUACGAAGGGUGCAAGCGUUAAUCGGAAUUACUGGGCGUAAAGCGUGCGUAGGCGGUGAGUUAAGUCUGCUGUGAAAUCCCCGGGCUCAACCUGGGAAUGGCAGUGGAUACUGGCUCGCUAGAGUGUGUCAGAGGAUGGUGGAAUUCCCGGUGUAGCGGUGAAAUGCGUAGAGAUCGGGAGGAAUACCGAUGGCGAAGGCAGCCAUCUGGCCUAAUACUGACGCUGAGGUACGAAAGCAUGGGGAGCAAACAGGAUUAGAUACCCCAGUAGUCCCUGUCUCUUAUAC